ACAUUUUAACAUAUUUUUGUUAUAAAAUAGAGUUCUAAAAAAUGCUUAAGCAAUACGCGUUGUGCAUUAUGUUGAAUCUUGUAGAUUUUGUCAUGUAAUAGAAGCAUAAAGGAGUUUAUUGGUCACUAUUAUAUUUAACCAUGGUCAAAGGAAAAUAUGGAAAUGCAAAUUUUGGACAAUUACCUAUUAUAAAAACACUACUAGCAUUUGAUCUAUGCAAAUCAGAAAAGCUAUUAACAACAAAUCUCAAGCAUUACUUUCUUGAUAUACUGUG
rnacentral:misc_RNA from 1 species